rnacentral:rRNA from 1 species
UACAGAGGUCUCAAGCGUUGUUCGGAUUCAUUGGGCGUAAAGGGUGCGUAGGCGGCGCGGUAAGUCGGGUGUGAAAUCUCGGAGCUUAACUCCGAAACUGCAUUCGAUACUGCCAUGACUUGAGUCCGGUAGGGGAGUGUGGAAUUCCCGGUGUAGCGGUGAAAUGCGCAGAUAUCGGGAGGAACACCCGUAGCGAAGGCGGCCAGCUAGACCAGUUCUGACACUGAGGCGCGACAGCGUGGGGAGCAAACAGG